rnacentral:rRNA from 1 species
AGUGAACGCUGGCGGCGUGCCUAAUACAUGCAAGUCGAACGGAGUGGCGCACGGGUGAGUAAUAUAUAGCUAAUCUGUCCCCUGCUGGAGGACAACAGUUAGAAAUGACUGCUAAUACUCCAUAGCAAGGGAUGAGACUAUAUCGUAUCAGCUAGUCGGUGGGGUAACGGCCUACCGAGGCUAUGACGCGUAACUGGUCUGCGAGGAUGAUCAGUCACAUUGGAACUGAGACACGGUCGAGACUCCUACGGGAUGGAGCAGUAUGGGAUAGUGCGCAAUGGGGGGAGCCCUGACGCAGCAACGGCGGGUGGAGGAUGACACUUUUCGGAGCGUAAACUCCUUUUGUUAGGGAGGCGGUACCUGACGAAUAAGCACCGGCUAACUCCGUGCCAGCAGCCGCGGUAAUUC